rnacentral:tRNA from 1 species
UCCCUGGUGGCUCAGAGGAUAAAGCGUCUGCCUGCAAUGCGGGAACCUGGGUUCGAUCCCUAGUUCGGGAA